UACGUAGGUGGCAAGCGUUGUCCGGAUUUACUGGGCGUAAAGAGCGCGCAGGCGGUCGUUCAAGUCGCGUGUGAAAGCCCCCGGCUCAACUGGGGAGGGUCACGCGAUACUGAUCGACUCGAAGGCAGGAGAGGGAAGUGGAAUUCCCGGUGUAGUGGUGAAAUGCGUAGAUAUCGGGAGGAACACCAGUGGCGAAGGCGACUUCCUGGCCUGUUCUUGACGCUGAGGCGCGAAAGCUAGGGGAGCGAACUGG
rnacentral:rRNA from 1 species